CGGAAUGUAGCGCAGCUGGUAGCGCGUCUGUUUUGGGAACAGGAAGUCAUGAGUUCGAAUCUUAUCGUUCCGA
rnacentral:tRNA from 1 species